UCAAUGGAAUGUUGGGGCUGUCGCCUAGCAACGGGGACGCCGGCGCGCACCUGCUGCACUGCGGCACCGGAAAUAGAGGGCAGAACAGCGGCUGAGCAGGGGAUGUGGAGAUAAUCCUCUGCCUCGCGUCGCCUUCAAUCGUUUUGGUUAGUUUCCUCUUUCAGGCUCGGGUCGACAAGCUUUGGCAUUCCGUCACAUCGCAGCAGACAGCGGAGAGAGGAGGGACACUGCAGUGCGAGCAUCAUCAUGAUGGCACACGCGCUCCGAGCGUGAGAUCUCUGGCAUUUUAACAAGAGGAGAGAGACGGACUCGGGUAGUCAUGCCCACCAAAUCUGCGAAUUUCAUGUUUAGUAUUUGUUUUUAUUAUUAUUUGUAUAUGCUGUGUGGAUGUGAACUGUACUUGUUUCCCCGGAUAAAAUCAAAGUAAGGCACAGCAUCUCUGUUGAUGUUACUCAAACCCAGCCCGUUAUCAGCACCGCUCAGCUGGAAUGAAAGAAGAGCAUUGUUACCAGAGGAAACAGCGCAUACAUCUGGAACAGGAAAUGAAUCGUCUGUGCUCUGUUAAUAAUAACUUUCCAUAUGAUAACAACCUCCUGGUGCUGGACAUGGUCCUGAGCUCACUAUGGGCUUCAUCUCAGCCAAUCAACUGGGAGAAUGUUGCCAAGUUGGUCCCAGGGUUCACACCUAAAGAGUGUGCACAAAGGUUUGAAGAGUUAAAGACUACAGGAAGUUUCCCUCAUGUCGAUGACCAGUGUAACCCACUGACCGGAGCAGGGAGCUCUCCAUCAGAACCCUUUUCCACCUACAUCAAAUCCAAUUUAUUGGACAUUACCGUAGAUACAGGGGAACCACCGUCCAAUCAGGCCACUCUCUCAGUGUCAGGCCUCGCUGUGAUCUCUACUGGUCGAGCAGCCUCUGCAGAGAGUGAGAUUGCAGAUCCUGCCAAGAAGAUUGAGAAAACAGAAGGGAAUAAAAGCCCCAACAUGGUAAUCCACGUUUGUGAUGAGGCAAAGAACCUGAAACAGGACUUUGUGUGUCCAAGGAACCUUCUGGUAAAAGAGAUGCGUUACUUUGAAGAGUAUCUUUCUGUGGACCCACAGCGCUGGGACGAGGUGGACAUUUCUGUCCACUGUGACGUCCAGAUCUUCGACUGGCUCAUGAACUACGUCAAGAGUCACAACACUGAACAUUCGCAUGGAAAACACAUGGACAAACCCAAACUGGAGCACAGCAAUGUCAUCUCAAUCCUGAUCUCCUCCGAGUUCUUGAAGAUGGAAACUUUAGUUGAGGAGUGUAUCCAGUAUUGUCACAAACAAAUGAGUGCCAUCAUAGCAACGCCGUGCAAUAUGAAUUGCAUCAACAACAACCUGGCUGGACGCAUCGCUGAUCUGUUCAGCCACAAUGAGGCAGAUGACCUCAAGGACAAAAAAGACAAAUUCAAAAGUAAAUUGUUUCAGAAGAAGAUCGAGAGAUUAUUUGAUCAUGGUUAUCAGAAUCACGAUUCCCCUGGUAACGCAUCUACUCUGUACAGAUGUGGACUUUGCCUUAAGCUUUUAACCAAAGAAACCGAGAGAAAAAUCCCCUGUGUUCCAAACAAAAUCAACAUAGAUGUCCGAGGAAACAUUGUAUUCACUCACUCCAGACAUAAGACCUGGGAGGUACAUGAGUUUGUGAAUGGGCUUUAUGAAGAGUUGAAGUCUUGGGUACUGGUCUACUGGAGGAUCUGGGGCACAAUCAACUUCCUUACCUGUUCACGCUGCAAACAGGUAUUCCUGUGUACAGAUUUGGGCCAGUGUAAGUACCACCCAGAGGCAGUUGUGUAUCCUGGCAUUGGGGCAGAUCAUAGAUGGCACGCCAUUGGUCUUUACCCCUGCUGCAACCAGAAAGUCCUGAGAUUCGAUCCCUCCUCCAUGCCCAAGGGCUGUAAAAUAAGAGACCACAUUGUGAGUGCAGCAGAUGGUGGUGACUGCGGCGAUCACAAUGUAAACUCAACCCAGACUAGAAUACUGAAUGACCUGCUGCUACACAGAGAGGCUGUGUGUGUGCCAGAGAGCUGUAGCUCUGAGGACUCUUCUGCAGGCAGUGAACGUGUGCCAGGAUGUGAUGUAAUGCUGGAGCCAGGGGUGCUUACAGCUCACAGACCCAAGGAAACCACAGCUUUUUCACUGUUAAAAAACUGGAGUCUUCAGCUGCGGCAACAGUCUCUGUUGUCUGAAGAUGAGGAGUACACUACAGGGUCAGAGGUCACAGAGGAUGAGGUUGGGGAUGAAGAAGACACAUCAAAAAAACAAGCUGCAAAGAAGGCAAGAAAAUCUGGAAAACCUUUGAAAAGACAAGUGUCCUCCCCCAGUUUCCAGCGUAAGGAGAAAUCUGGAGAAAAGGCACCAUCUCGAGACUCCACCCCAUUCAUCGUCGGCAUCCAGAAGAAUAAGUGGGAUAGCAAUCGCUCCAUGAGGUACAAUCAGGACGCACAGAGGGAGGAGGAUCAGAGGAGAAUGGAGGAGAUUAUAGCAAAUCUCACUAAAAUGCGCUUUGGUGAUCAAGAGCAGACGAAGUUUAAAGACACAAAAGAGCAGUAUUCCAACAUUGUACUCUAGUAUUUUGCACCCAUGUGUGUUUGUGUGGUUCCAGCCUGCAGGGGGGCUCUACUCGAGGCUGGAGGCCCAAUUUAAGGCCUCCUCUCAGUCCAGCGGAAGACACAGCAGCUCAGAGAAAACUCUAAGAGCGAAGGCACGCUCGGGGCCGUCGAGACCGACUUAGAGAAAAUGUGGAGAUGAGUUUUUGAAAAGGAAGAGUAAAAGAGCUUGCUGCUGUUUGACGAGGCAGAAUAACCCAUUGCUCUCUUCGUCCAUCCUUUGCUCCACUCCUCACCCCCUCCUUCUCCCAAACUCCAUCCAGACACGGCAGGAAUAGCAUUAGAGUCUUUUCCGUUACAGUCCUGGGAGAAGAAUGGAUUGCUGGUGUGGUCACUGAAGUCAUAACUGUAGCUAUAGAACACAAACAAUGGACCUAAUGAAGCCAUCAGUUGCACUGUAAACAAUACAAGCUUUUGGCUGCUAAUGAAUUGUUUGCACCUACUAAUCUGUGUUACACUAGUACUGUUUAUUUUGCACCUUUUGCGUUAUCUCAUCUCAUGUCUAGCUCAGGAUUCAUCCCAGCCGCAGUGUGUUAUAAUGUCCCUGCUUCAAUCUAGCCGACUCAGGUGACCAGACAAAGCUCAUCUCUGUGGUACUGACCCUGCACUUUAAGCCGUCUUAAUGCAAUGACUCAAACCUGUAUAAUACGCAAAGAAGCCACUGGGUAAAGAGCAACGCUGACGACUAAUACCUGUGAGGUCCAUGAUUACGUUGCACUGAAACUAUCACAACUGUGCCAUUCGGACCAAUGUGACAUGAGGUAGAAUACAGAAGCAGUAGAAUAAAAAGCAUUUAAAAUAAACCCGUGUC